UUGGAGGGCAAGUCUGGUGCCAGCAGCCGCGGUAAUUCCAGCUCCAAUAGCGUAUAUUAAAGUUGUUGCAGUUAAAAAGCUCGUAGUUGAAUUUCGGAACUCAUCCGUCGGUCGAGCUUAACUGUCCGCACUGGUGUGGUGGGUUCCUACCUUCUGAAUAACCGGCAUGCCAUUAAUUUGGUGCGCCGGGGAAGCAGGACUGUUACCUUGAAAAAAUUAGAGUGCUUAAAGCAGGCUAUCGCCUGAAUACAUUAGCAUGGAAUAAUGAAAUAGGACGGCAUGGUUCUAUUUUGUUGGUUUCUAGGAUCACCGUAAUGAUUAAUAGGGAUAGUUGGGGGCAUUAGUAUUCAAUUGUCAGAGGUGAAAUUCUUGGAUUUAUUGAAGACUAACUUCUGCGAAAGCAUUUGCCAAGGAUGUUUUCAUUAAUCAAGAACGAAAGUUAGGGGAUCGAAGACGAUCGGAUACCGUCGUAGUCUUAACCAUAAACUAUGCCGACUAGGGAUCGGACGAUGUUAAUUUUUUAAUGACUCGUUCGGCGCCUUACGGGAAAC
rnacentral:rRNA from 1 species